GGUCAGAGGAUUUCACGCGUAGUCGCUCGGCCGGAGUUCCUUGAUCGCUCAAACCAGGAACGUUGGUGGCCCUCCGUUCAUUGUCGACAGGGUUGAGUCCACGUUCAUUAUAAGGAGCGGCCCGGGCAGCAAGCAGGUGCCAGAUGAUUCUGCCAGUCACCAUUGGUACAUCGGCCAACUCAAGACAUUCACCCAGCCAGGCCUCCUGACAGAAAAACGCCGCCUGCCACAGUCAUACCCUGGAUCGCUGCCAGCCACUCCACACCUUGCAUGUCUUUAAUAAAUACAAUUUCACUCUACUUCAGCUUCCAAGUCGCCCUUUGGUCCGCAUCGGCUUCGCCUAGUCUGCCGAAACAGAUUCCAUAUUUUUUUCUUCAGAAUGGAGUGAUUCCAUAUCUAUUUCCCUGCACUUGCUCUAUAAAAGUAACCACAAUGUU